CAGUCGCCACGGUAAUACGUAGGUGGCAAGCGUUGUCCGGAAUUAUUGGGCGUAAAGGGCUCGCAGGCGGUUUCUUAAGUCUGAUGUGAAAGCCCCCGGCUCAACCGGGGAGGGUCAUUGGAAACUGUUAAACUUGAGUGCAGGAGAGAAAAGUGGAAUUCCUAGUGUAGCGGUGAAAUGCGUAGAGAUUAGGAGGAACACCAGUGGCGAAGGCGGCUUUUUGGCCUGUAACUGACACUGAGGCGCGAAAGCGUGGGGAGCAAACAGGAUUAGAGACCCCAGUAGUCCCUGUCUCUUAUAU
rnacentral:rRNA from 1 species